rnacentral:rRNA from 2 species
UGCGGUGGUAAUGGCCUGAGGGUUCCACCUGUUCCCAUUCCGAACACAGAAGUUAAGCCUCAGCACGCCGAUGGUACUUGGCUGGAGACGGCCCGGGAGAGUAGGUCGCUGCCGCAU